rnacentral:lncRNA from 1 species
CCGCUAUUGUGAGAGUCGGUCACCUCCACUGUCAACCAUUUUCAGUCACUGUAGCAUGAUUGUAAAUAAAAUAGCAGCAGCUCGCAGCUUCCUUGUACAACCAGUCGGGCAGUCAAAUAUCGACUCUGUUGCCAAACUCCUCAAUGCAUUGUGCCAAGUGAGACCAAAAAUUGCUGAUAUAGUUGCAAAAGAGAUUCAAUUUGCAGAGAUGACCGCUUACCAGGGGAAGAAAACGAGGAAAAAAAAUAAAGGACUUCGCUCUACUUCCAUUGCAGGCCCACUUGACAAUCCUUCUAUAGAGAAACUUAAAUCUGCAAUAGCACAUUUAGUUCUGAGACCCCCAACAUUGCAGAAGAGUCUAAUUGACAGGAUAGAAGGCUCACAAAGCACUUUUGAAUUUGAACACAAAGAAGUACUUAUCUCUGUGCACCCUUACCUUUUCAUACGCUCCCAUUCGCCUGUAUUCAAUGGUGAAUUCUGAUUCUUCUGAUACUUUGGAGUCUUC